AUAGGACAAGUUGGAUUUUUUUUAGUAAUUGCAUAGAUGCACUGAUUUUGUUACUCUCAAUUCUCAUAUCUCAGUUGAGCUUCAUCAAGCUGGGAUAGACAAGCGAAUUUCCAUGACAGUUUGAGGAGCAAGAGGCUCCUGGUUCAAGGUCAUUCUUUAUAGAGAUUAUUGCCUUGAUAUCAGAUAUUAAGUUUUCGAAGGACGAACCAUUGUAAAUUUAUUGUUCUAAAUAUAUAUAAUUUUUAUUAUAAAGUUGUACUAUAUUUGGUUAAUAUUAAUUUUUAAUUGUACUUAAUAUUUUUUGGGUUUUAAAUAUAAAAACAAUUGUACAAAUUUUAUUGGCCA